UCAAUAACUACGGAUAGCAACAAUCGAUC
rnacentral:sRNA from 1 species